UAUGUACUCCCUCCAUACGAAAAAGAUUCUCUCUCAAAUGGUUGUAUCUAGCACCAAAUUAGUGCUAGAUACAUCUAUUUGAGAGACAAGUUUGGGACAAGUUUUUUCGGAUGAAGGGAGUAGUAG
rnacentral:pre_miRNA from 1 species